rnacentral:rRNA from 1 species
UACGGAGGGUGCGAGCGUUAAUCGGAAUUACUGGGCGUAAAGCGCACGUAGGCGGUUGUUCAAGUCCGUUGUGAAAGCCCCGGGCUCAACCUGGGAAUGGCAAGGGCGACUGAGCGACUGGAGUGUAACAGAGGACCGUGGAAUUCCCGGUGUAGCGGUGAAAUGCGUAGAGAUCGGGAAGAACACCGAUGGCGAAGGCAGCGGUCUGGGUUAACACUGACGCUGAGGUGCGACAGCGUGGGGAGCAAACAGG